GACGGAGGGUGCUAGCGUGGUUCGGAAUUACUGGGCGUAAAGGGCGCGUAGGCGGCCCUGUCAGUCGGGUGUGAAAGCCCGGGGCUCAACCCCGGAACGGCACCCGAGACGGCGGGGCUGGAGACCGGGAGAGGAGGGUGGAAUAGCCAGUGUAGAGGUGAAAUUCGUAGAUAUUGGCUGGAACACCGGUGGCGAAAGCGGCUCUCUGGCCCGGUUCUGACGCUGAGGCGCGAAAGCGUGGGGAGCAAACAGG
rnacentral:rRNA from 1 species